UACGGAGGUGGCAAGCGUUGUUCGGAAUUACUGGGCGUAAAGGGCGCGUAGGAGGCAAGGCAAGUCAGGUGUGAAAGCCCCGAGCUUAACUCGGGAAUUGCAUCUGAAACUGCUGUGCUUGAGUUCUGGAGGGGGUAGUGGAAUUCCCAGUGUAGCGGUGAAAUGCGUAGAUAUUGGGAGGAACACCUGCGGCGAAGGCGGCUACCUGGACAGAAACUGACGCUGAGGCGCGAAGGCUAGGGGAGCGAACGGG
rnacentral:rRNA from 1 species